rnacentral:lncRNA from 1 species
GAGAGAAAGAAGAUGUAUUAGAUUGAUAAGAGUUAGGGUUACAAAUGGAGGCACACUUUAGUACAUAUAGAGAACAAACUCUAGGUCUAAGGGGGUGUGUACAAAGACAAUCAUACCCUCUCUUAGCCUUGUAACCCGAGUAACCCAAGUAACCUGUAACCCGAGUAACCCAAGUAACCUGUAACCCGAGUAACCCAAGUAACCUACAUUUAACCCUUAACUAUGACUUAGUUAGUGUUAAAUGUCUUCUUGAUUAACAACACAUCCUUGAAAAAUAUUCUCCAACUUGUAGGGAUAAUACUCUUUUUCCCUAAGCUUGGUUUUGUCCCACGUGGUUUUCCAAGCUUAGGUUUUUAAUGAGGUUAUUCAUACAAGUGCCAAGUUUAUACACAAUUGGGCAUUGUAAUAUAAACUUGAGGGGGAGUGUUAAUCAAGAAGACAUUUAACACUAACUAAGUCAUAGUUAAGA